rnacentral:rRNA from 1 species
AUACGUAGGGGGCAAGCGUUAUCCGGAAUUAUUGGGUGUAAAGGGUGCGUAGACGGAUUUAUAAGUUAGUUGUGAAAGCCCUCGGCUUAACUGAGGAAGAGCAACUAAAACUAUAAACCUUGAGUAUGGGAGAGGGAAGCGGAAUUUCUAGUGUAGCGGUGAAAUGCGUAGAUAUUAGGAGGAACACCAGUGGCGAAGGCGGCUUUCUGGACCAAAACUGACGUUGAUGCACGAAAGUGUGGGGAGCAAACAGGAUUAGAUACCCUGGUAGUCCACACUGUAAACGAUGGAUACUAGGUGUAGGGAGGAUUAAACCUAUCUGUGCCGGCGUUAACACAAUAAGUAUCCCACCUGAGUAGUACGACCGCAAGGUUAAA